GUCCCAUUCUCCAUCCGAGGCCUUCUAGUCCCGGUGUCACUGUCGCAGCACCUGGCGUUCGUUAGCUCUUUCACCAGCGGCGCGGAGCGGGCGGUUUUGCUGUCACGGCACAUGUGGCACGGAGUUUCUCGGUGGCCGAAACCCUCUUUUUUCUCAGAGUCCAGUUUCUUGGUGACAGCGCUGUUGGUUGCGCCAUAAGGAAUGUUGUCCUUGACAACCCGCCGGCCGCAGUCAUUCGCAAGCUCCAGGCACCGACAUUUCGCAGAACUGAGGUCUCUCGGUCUCAGCACAGCUCGUUGCUCGAUGCCUCCAUUUUCUCGGGGCGACAGCACUCAGGUCGCCGAUCUGAGGGAUUCGGAGCUUCCCCAGCUGGGGUGAGCCUGGCGUUCCCGGGCGGCGGCGGCGGCGCUGGGCUAGGGGAGCCCGCCGCUCCUCCAAGCCGGUGACAGGGGAGCUGCCCGGGCGCCGUCUCUUCCCAGCGCCGCCGCAGAACCCGCAGAACAGCUCGACCUCCAGAACCCUGUGCUGUGGCGGCGGGGCUGGCGUGUCUGUCGCAGGACCCCGCAGAUUCGUCUGUCGUUGGCUUGUUGGUCCUAACAAGUUUCGAUUUCAGGGUGCCUGCGUUUCUUUUUCUUUUCUCUUCUUUUCCUUUUGUUUUGUUUUGAGACAGAGUCUCGCCGUGUCGCCCAGCCUGGAGUGCAGUGGCGCGAUCUUGGCUCACUGCAACCUCCGCACCCCAGGUUCAAGGGAUUCUACUGCCUCAGCCUCCUGAGUAGCUGGGAUUACAGGCGCUCGCCACCACGCCCGGAUAAUUUUUGUAUUUUUACUAGAGGCGGUGUUUCAUCAUAUUGACCAGGCUGGUCUCGAACUCCUAACCUCAAUAAUCUGCCCGCCUCGGCCUCCCAAACUGCCAGGAUUACAGCAUGAGCCGCUGCGCCCAGCCGGUGACUACGAUUUCUAUCCCCUGGUUCAAGUCGGGGAAUAGCCAAAAUGUGAUUUCUCAACCCAAGCAAGUACCCACUUAGGACAAACACCAGCCUAGCCCUGGCGGCGAUUUCUAGGUCGUAGGAAGUCGAUGUUUCGCCACAGAAAGGCUGAGUGACCCUGUGACUCAUUUCCCAGCAACUCCGGGUUUCCUGUAGCCUAAUCAUAACAAACGCAGAGUUAGCCCUGCCUCAAGUUUCUUUUUUCUUUUUCUUUUUUUUUUUUUUUUUUUUUUUUUUUUUGAGACAGAGUUUCUUUCGUCCAGGCUAGAAUGCAGUGGCGCCAUCUCGGCGAUCUCGGCUCACUGCAACCUCCACCUCCCGGGUUCAAGUGAUUCUCCUGCCUCAGCCUCCCAAAUAGCUGGGAUUAUAGGCGCCCGCCACCACACCCGGCUAAUUUUUGUAUUUUUAGUAGAGACGGGGUUUUGCCACAUUAGCCAGACUGGUCUCAAACUCCCGACCUCAGAUGAUCCACCCGCCUUGGCCUCCCAAAGCCUCAAGUUUCUAAGUCGUGGCAAGUUCCGGCUUCCUACUAGUACGGCUUGCUUUAGCUGCGCAGGAGAUGUUCAACUCCUGUAGAAAUCUGUGUACCAGCGAAUGCGAUUCAUUUAGGUUUAGCGAUGACCAGUUUAGCAGUGCCUGGGAGCUCUUACACCAAGGCUAGCUGCGCAACAUCAAGUCCCGCCUUAGCUAUGUUGGUGUUUUUUAAACUCCCAUGGAAGUCAGGAAAUGCCGGCAAAAGCGAUUUCUGGUUUACGAAGCUCGGUUUGACGAUAGCAAUUUCCGCCGAACGCGACUUUUUCCUCUUGUGGACCAAGUCGGGAUAUAUCAGCUACUACGAUUUUUUAGUCGUAAACAGGUUUAACCAUGACUGGGUUUUGUUGGUUUCUUGUUGUUGUUGUUGUUUGUUUUUGUUUUUGUCCUAAGAAAUGUAGACUUAGGUGUAACAUGUACCGGUUUAGAUCUAACAGGGAUAUCCUAAUCACAGAAUUGCUUCUUUUGGCAAUACUUGUAAUUUCUGCUUUGUAGGGUUGGUUCUCUCUAAUUUUUGCUUAUUUUUAAAUGCUCUUUUUGUGUCUUUUGCUCUGAGAACAAUGCUACCGGUAGUUUCCAGUGUGUUUGCUUUGCCUUUUUAUUUGAAUUUUAGAAUUUAUUAUUUUAAAAUUUUAUCUUAUUUAAAUGUUAUUCAUUUUUCUUCUACUAAUUUUGAGUAUCACAGCUUCGUACUCCUUGACUUGCAUUCUCUCAGGAGCUGGGGAGCCAAGCUCGGUCUCCGCUUCGGUGGUUUCAGGUCCCGGGUUCUGUCUGGCGGCUCUGCUUCUAAUGCGGAGCUGGCGGUUUUGCAGCAACGCUUUUGCCAGUAGCGCCCACUGAGCGGUUUUUCAGUUGCUGCACCGUUCUUAGCGCCCAACGGAACGUUUCCCGUACGCGGAGUCCAUAAGUUGUCUGUGUCGUCACUUUCUCGGUUCUGGCACCGCUAGUAUCUCCUAGGAACUUCCUAAACCCGUUUUACGGUGCAGAACGGUAAUUGCACCGAGCCUCUGUGCCAACUAGUACUUCCGUAAUACCGUUAGCCGGCUCUUUUCCUGUCACAACACAUUAAAACGUGUUAAAACACAUUAAACGGAUUAAACACAUUAAACGGAUUAAAACACAUUAAAACGUCACAACACAUUUAAACAGAGUCGGUCCAUUCCUCCAGACAGUAUGUUUCGGGAUGGAAGCACCCCUCCUAAGAAUCCGCAGUUUCUUUCUAGCAGCACCGUUAUGGCGCCUAAACGGAUAUUUGUUUGGCAAUACCAGCGCUAUCCGCUAGGUGCCGGCGCUUGCUGAGUCUCAGCGCCGCCAGAUUCUUGCUAGCGAGGUCCAGAGCAGUGCAGAGACCUAGCGGACAGUUUUCCGGUGGCAGCAAUGCUCAUUUCCCGGACACAGAUGGUUUUUGGCCCCUGAAGAACUCUUUAAUCCCUGCGUUUUGUAGCGCUCGUUCUCUGUAAGGUUUGCUUAGUAUCCGUUUCAUUUCGACUUCUUUUCUCGCUGUUUUUCUGUCGGAAUUACGAUUUGUUUUGUUUCUAUGUGCUCUCUAGAAUUUUACCGGUUUUCAUUUGUCUACUAAUUUUCGUGCAUUCGUUACUAUUGAGUUUCAUAAUAUCUGGGUGCCCUCUGCCCACGAGCUCCGGAGAGCAUAAAUACCCAGGCUGAUGGUAGUGCUAAAGGUUCUGCUUCAUCUCGUCAAUCAGCGCAAACGCUUAUGUCCUCCUGCUCUGAGGCUUAAUUAAGCGAUGGAGCAACAUUUUCUUGGCUAUGUGAAGCCUGCUUGAGAUUCCGCAGAGGUGGUGCCUGAGCUCCAGCCUCGGCCUAUUUUGAAUUCAGAAGACUGUGAUAUUACUGUGUGAGCCACCACUUUGGGAGGCCAGCAUGGGCAGAUCACUUGAGGUCAGGAGUUGGAGACCAGCCUGGCCCAAGUGGUGAAACCCCAUCUCUACUAAAAAUACAAAAAUUAGCCGGUGAUGAUGCAUGCCUGCAAUCCCAGCUACUCAGGAGGCUGAGGCAGGAGAAUCUCUUGAACUCGGAGGCAGAGGUUGCAGUGAGCUCAGAUCGUGCCACCGUCCUCCAGCCUAGGCAGACUGAGACUCCGUCAAAAAAAAAAAAUCUUAGAGUUAUAUUUUAUGAAAUAAUAGGUAGUCAUUAAAUGUCUGGGUCAUUCUCAACUUUACAAAAGUACUGUAGGCAAACAUUUUUCCAAAGAAAAAGUGUUAUUAUUAAAAGGAAAAUAGUUUUAUCUAAUUCAAAGGUUAUUUAGGAAAAAGGUAAAAACAUACUGUACAUUUUAUCAAAAUAAUUCCUGUGUAAUUAUUACUAGGUUUUUAUUUGCUUAGAAAAACUGAGAUUAAAAAAGGUUAUUAUAUCUACAUAACUUUCUGUAAUUCUUUUAACGUUUUUGUGUUACCAAGUUACAGGGCUUUCACUCCUGGGUCGAAAAAGGUCACCAACUCCUACUAAAUCUUAAACAUUAACAGCAACUGAAGCCUCAUCUUCAGACCUAAGAGAAGAUGAAAAUCAGAAGAAGCUGCAUUCACAAGACCUGUGUCCAGAAAAUUAAACUAUUCAACCCCCUAGUCCCAGGGACUAUUGCAGAAGAAGUGGGUGUUUGGACUUGUAAGGACCUACUUUAAGAGAGAAAGUUAGUUCAGUAUUUCUCUAUAAACAGUGGUUUUGUUUUGUUUUGUUUUGUUUUGUUUUGUUUUGACAGGAACUAGCUCUGUCACCUGGGUUGGAAUGCAGUGGCAUGAUCCUGGCUCACUGCAACCUCCAUCUCCCAGACACAAGCGAUCCUGCCACCUCAGCCUCCUGAGUAGCUGGGACUGCAGAAUAAGGUUCACACCCACCUCCCUGCAAUCUGAUUUGGACGGCCCAUGAGACCAGAAGAUUACAAAAACGCAAAAGAUGUUGACUUAUGAGUCCUAGAUACCCUGUAUCCGCUGGUGAAAGGACGCGAUGGAGUUGCCGUGUCCCCUCCGAGUUUGGCAGGCCCGGGAUUCCGCAAAGGAGGCGGCGGGACCAGAUGCCUCCAGCCCGGAGCUCAGUACAUUCGGUGUCCUGGAUGCUCCCUUCCUGUGCUUACCACUGCGAGCUCUCCUGGGCCGACCUAGAUUUCCACUGCCACAUACUUUCCGCUCCCUGCGUGCUUCCUUGCUGAAACUGCCGGCGAAAAGAUCUCUUUCCCAAGCCUCAGAGUACCUGGAGGCGGGGCGCAGAGUCGCCUGCUCUGGAUCCGGCGCAGGCAAUUCAGGAGGAGCCGCAGGAGCCCUCGGGAGAGCAGGAGGCUGCAUAGGGUCUCAACAUACGCCCGCCCGCCCCCGCAGCCUCCCUCGCAACUCGCCUCUCGCUUAGUGGACAGACGACUGGAGCCGGAGACUUCCAUCCGAGAAGACCUUUGAGAGUGUCAGCCUACUGCUGUCCCCUGGUGCCACCAACCAAAGUUCCAAGACUGCUGGCUGCAGAUGGCAUGCGCUUGGGGACAGACGCCCUGAGACUGUGUCCACGGCCCGCCUUUGGAAUCCUGGGCCCUGAAACUUCCUCUGAGACCUUCCAUUGGAUGAUCCUCUUGUAAAUAAAUAAAUAAAUAAAUAAAGUUACAAUAAUACCUGAGUUCUCUCAAAUGCGAUGGAAGAAGUUUCGCCUUCAGAUCACUUUAUGCCUUUUUUCCUUCCUCUUCUCAAUAAAAUUGUACACAAAUGUGAAA